rnacentral:rRNA from 1 species
UUGAUGUGUAGGAUAGGUGGGAGGCUUUGAAGUGUGGACGCCAGUCUGCAUGGAGCCGACCUUGAAAUACCACCCUUUAAUGUUUGAUGUUCUAACGUUGACCCGUAAUCCGGGUUGCGGACAGUGUCUGGUGGGUAGUUUGACUGGGGCGGUCUCCUCCUAAAGAGUAACGGAGGAGCACGAAGGUUGGCUAAUCCUGGUCGGACAUCAGGAGGUUAGUGCAAUGGCAUAAGCCAGCUUGACUGCGAGCGUGACGGCGCGAGCAGGUGCGAAAGCAGGUCAUAGUGAUCCGGUGGUUCUGAAUGGAAGGGCCAUCGCUCAACGGAUAAAAGGUACUCCGGGGAUAACAGGCUGAUACCGCCCAAGAGUUCAUAUCGACGGCGGUGUUUGGCACCUCGAUGUCGGCUCAUCACAUCCUGGGGCUGAAGUAGGUCCCAAGGGUAUGGCUGUUCGCCAUUUAAAGUGGUACGCGAGCUGGGUUUAGAACGUCGUGAGACAGUUCGGUCCCUAUCUGCCGUGGGCGCUGGAGAACUGAGGGGGGCUGCUCCUAGUACGAGAGGACCGGAGUGGACGCAUCACUGGUGUUCGGGUUGUCAUGCCAAUGGCACUGCCCGGUAGCUAAAUGCGGAAGAGAUAAGUGCUGAAAGCAUCUAAGCACGAAACUUGCC